CUAGAAAUCAAAGAGAAAUCUUAUAAUUAGACAAAGUGAAUUGAAAUAUCUUAGUAACUUUAGGAAAAGAAAUCAAACGAGAUUGUUAUUUGGUGUCUUCUAAAUAACAAAAGCCUAUUAAAAAAUUAAAAUGGAAAAAAUCUGUUUGAAUAUAGGGGAACCUUCCUCUAAGGCUAAAGAAAAUAUAUAAGCGAUAGUGUAGUAGUACCG
rnacentral:ncRNA from 1 species